GACGAACGCUGGCGGCGUGCCUAAUACAUGCCAGUCGAGCGAGCGGAACUAACAGAUUUACCUCGGUAAUGACGUUAGGAAAGCGAGCGGCGGAUGGGUGAGUAACACGUGGGGAACCUGCCCCAUAGUCUGGGAUACCACUUGGAAACAGGUGCUAAUACCGGAUAAGAAAGCAGAUCGCAUGAUCAGCUUUUAAAAGGCGGCGUAAGCUGUCGCUAUGGGAUGGCCCCGCGGUGCAUUAGCUAGUUGGUAAGGUAAAGGCUUACCAAGGCGAUGAUGCAUAGCCGAGUUGAGAGACUGAUCGGCCACAUUGGGACUGAGACACGGCCCAAACUCCUACGGGAGGCAGCAGUAGGGAAUCUUCCACAAUGGACGCAAGUCUGAUGGAGCAACGCCGCGUGAGUGAAGAAGGUUUUCGGAUCGUAAAGCUCUGUUGUUGGUGAAGAAGGAUAGAGGUAGUAACUGGCCUUUAUUUGACGGUAAUCAACCAGAAAGUCACGGCUAACUACGUG
rnacentral:rRNA from 1 species